CAUGCACCAGUGGGGUCCCUCAGCCUGGCCUGUGGGAUUGAACCAAAACCAGCUUUCCGACAUUCCCUGAAGUGUCCCGGAUUGCAAGAGGGCACAGGCCAGGCUGAGGGACCCCACUGAUGCACC
rfam:Myotis lucifugus cont2.36651, whole genome shotgun sequence.